rnacentral:misc_RNA from 1 species
CUUCUCCCAACCCACCCCACAGCCGCCGCCGACCCCCGGGCAUCUCUCUGGCCACCGGCUGUCAGCCCUCCCCUUCCUCCCCCGCUGCUGCCCCCCUUCCCCCCUCCCUCCCCCGGGGUCGUAGCCAGGACGCCAGCCGCCGCCGUCCACCCGCUGGCACUGCAGGUCGAGCCAGCAGCCGCGCCACCUGCUGGCCAUCGCGCUGUCGCGCCUCCCCACGCCGUAUCCGCCCCGCCGAGACCCUCUCCAGGCCGCCGCCGCGGUGGCGGGACUCCAGGUCAAGGUCGCGGCGGCGGCACCCUAGCCCUGCUCUGCCCUCGCCUUCUCUCUUGGGCGGACGGCCGGACCAGCUCCUGCUCGUCCACUCCAGCGCUCCAAGCGGCCGGCGCUGGCGCUGCCUAUGUGCCUUCAACCCCCUCCCUAGGCACGCCGCAGGCCCGCAGCGGCCACCGCUGCACCAGCCCCUCGUAAUCUUCGCAGCCUCGUCCAUGAUGGACUAGGGCAAGUAUAUUGGUGUUGUCUUGUAGGUGGUCUCGUGUAGUACCA